rnacentral:rRNA from 1 species
UACGUAGGGACCGAGCGUUGUCCGGAAUCAUGGGGCGUAAAGAGCGUGUAGGCGGCCACUUAAGUCCUGCGUGAAAUCUUGCGGCUCAACCGCAAGCGGUCGUGGGAAACUGGGUGGCUAGAGUGCGGGAGAGGAGAGUGGAAUUCCUGGUGUAGCGGUGGAAUGCGCAGAUAUCAGGAAGAACACCCGUGGCGAAGGCGGCUCUCUGGAACGCAACUGACGCUUAGACGCGAAAGCGUGGGGAGCAAACAGG